rnacentral:rRNA from 1 species
AGAGUUUGAUCAUGGCUCAGGAUGAACGCUAGCUACAGGCUUAACACAUGCAAGUCGAGGGGAAACGACAUCGAAAGCUUGCUUUUGAUGGGCGUCGACCGGCGCACGGGUGAGUAACGCGUAUCCAACCUGCCCACCACUUGGGGAUAACCUUGCGAAAGUAAGACUAAUACCCAAUGACGUCUCUAGAAGACAUCUGAAAGAGAUUAAGGAUUUAUCGGUGAUGGAUGGGGAUGCGUCUGAUUAGCUUGUUGGCGGGUAACGCCACAAGGCGACGAUCAGUAGGGGUUCUGAGAGGAAGGUCCCCCANAUUGGAACUGAGACACGGUCCAAACUCCUACGGGAGGCA